UGGGUCUGGGGAUUAGGAUGUGGUUUUUUACGGGGCAACCUGUAGAGAAAUCUGCUUAGUUCACUUCCAUUAAGUAGAAUUCUAGUUCAUUUACUUUGAGUAAAUUAGAGUGUUCAAAGCAUGAUUCACAUUUGAAUAAUACAGCAUGGGAUAAUAUAAUAUGACAUUAGUUAAAAUUUGUUGGUUUCUUUGGCUAAUGUAAUGAUUAAAAGGGACAGUUGGAGUAAUUUAUAUUGGUUGGGGAGGGGUGAAAUCCUAUGAUCCUUCCAAGAUAAACUAGUGCGAAAAGCAUUUUACUAGGAUGUUUUCAUUAAUCAAGAACGAAAGUUGGGGGAUCGAAGAUGAUCAGAUACCGUCGUAGUCUCAACCAUAAAACUAUGUCGACUAAGGAUGAUAAAAAUAUUAAAAUGAAUGAUUUUUGUUCGCACUUUAAAAGAAAUUAAAGUAAUUCAGACUCCGGGGGGAGUAUGGUCGCAAGGCUGAAACUU
rnacentral:rRNA from 1 species